UAUAUCUAUUCUAUAUAAAGUGUGUCUAUAUAACUGAAAUUCUUGAUUUAUGAGAAAUUUAUGGGUGAAUUUUAAUUUUUAUUUAAUAAAAUAAUAAAAUAUUAUUUAUAUAUAAUAAAAUAAUGGUUUAUGAGAAAUUCAUGGGUGAAUUUUAGUUUUUAUUUAAUAAAAUAAUAAAAUAUUAUUUAUAUAUAAUAAAAUAAUAAUAAAAUAAAUCCUAUUAGUAUUUGAACUGACAUUAAAUAGCUCUUCCCCAAUUUAAAAAAGAAAACAUACUGUAUCUUAAAUUCCUAAUGAAAUUUUUAUAGGAAGUAUUUUAAAAAAAUAUAUAAUAAACAAAUAAAAAAUCUUCCUAACCUUAGGUUAUAUCACAAUCCAUAUAAACUUUAACUUUAAUUCAAAAUCUUCCAUACUCUCUUACACACAUAGCUAUCAAUAUGCAUGGUUUACUCUUUUUUUUUUCUUCUUUUUUCGUUACACCAUUACAAAGUUCUAGCAUUACCCUGACUUUAAUGUUUGAUUUAUCUAUUUUGUAGAUUUCUCAAAUAAAUUAAUAUCAUCAUAUACGUAUUAUUUAUGCAAUGGAGAGGUAAAAGUUUUAUAUUCUUUAAAGAGUAUUGCUUAAUUUGCAGGAACACCACCGCUUUGUCGACACUACCAUAUUCAAUUUAUCAACGAAAAAGUGGACAAUCCAGAUAUAUGCGGACCCGGCUAGAAUGAAAACUGCAAAAUACAAAAAUUACACUAUUGUCUCUAUCGAAGCAAAUGAAGAUUGAAAUCCACCAAUGACUAUCAUUAGUUUCUUAUCUACAAUUUUUAGACAAAUGCUAUUUUCAAUUAUCAAUAAUUUAGAGAUUGAUUUUUAA